CGAAGAAAAUGGACGAUCCUGAAGUGUUCCGGAACGCAUUUCUGUCUUCCGAUAUCGAUAUCGACCGGCUCUAUGCGCGUGCGCAGCAGGACGAUGUGAAGAAGAGGCUGAUCGAGGUCACAACCGAUGCGGUAAACCGCGGCGCGUUCGGCUCGCCGACCUUCUUCGUUGGCAAGGAAAUGUUCUUCGGCAAGGACCAGCUUCGUGACGUCGAAGAGUCCAUUGUCGAGCAGCUCGGCGCGGCGAAAGCCAAAUCCGCCUGAUUGCGGCUCAACGUCUCAAGAACUGUUCGGCAGCGGUAAGGCCGUCAGGCAGUCCCGCCCACGAAAUCAGGGAAGAAACAGAUGCCUGGUCCUUUGAGUGGUGUUCGCGUUCUUGAUCUGACGGCGGUGGUAUCGGGUCCGUAUGCG
rnacentral:misc_RNA from 1 species